rnacentral:rRNA from 3 species
UGCUGGAGGUAUCAGAAGUGCGAAUGCUGACAUAAGUAACGAUAAAGCGGGUGAAAAGCCCGCUCGCCGGAAGACCAAGGGUUCCUGUCCAACGUUAAUCGGGGCAGGGUGAGUCGACCCCUAAGGCGAGGCCGAAAGGCGUAGUCGAUGGGAAACGGGUUAAUAUUCCCGUACUUGGUGUUACUGCGAAGGGGGGACGGAGAAGGCUAUGUUGGCCGGGCGACGGUUGUCCCGGUUUAAGCGUGUAGGUGUGUGUUCCAGGUAAAUCCGGUUCACUUUAACACUGAGGCGUGAUGACGAGGCACUACGGUGCUGAAGCAACAAAUGCCCUGCUUCCAGGAAAAGCCUCUAAGCAUCAGGUAACAUCAAAUCGUACCCCAAACCGACACAGGUGGUCAGGUAGAGAAUACCAAGGCGCUUGAGAGAACUCGGGUGAAGGAACUAGGCAAAAUGGUGCCGUAACUUCGGGAGAAGGCACGCUGACACGUAGGUGAAGUGAUUUACUCAUGGAGCUGAAGUCAGUCGAAGAUACCAGCUGGCUGCAACUGUUUAUUAAAAACACAGCACUGUGCAAACACGAAAGUGGACGUAUACGGUGUGACGCCUGCCCGGUGCCGGAAGGUUAAUUGAUGGGGUCAGCGCAAGCGAAGCUCCUGAUCGAAGCCCCGGUAAACGGCGGCCGUAACUAUAACGGUCCUAAGGUAGCGAAAUUCCUUGUCGGGUAAGUUCCGACCUGCACGAAUGGCGUAAUGAUGGCCAGGCUGUCUCCACCCGAGACUCAGUGAAAUUGAACUCGCUGUGAAGAUGCAGUGUACCCGCGGCAAGACGGAAAGACCCCGUGAACCUUUACUAUAGCUUGACACUGAACAUUGAGCCUUGAUGUGUAGGAUAGGUGGGAGGCUUUGAAGUGUGGACGCCAGUCUGCAUGGAGCCGACCUUGAAAUACCACCCUUUAAUGUUUGAUGUUCUAACGUGGACCCGUAAUCCGGGUUGCGGACAGUGUCUGGUGGGUAGUUUGACUGGGGCGGUCUCCUCCUAAAGAGUAACGGAGGAGCACGAAGGUUGGCUAAUCCUGGUCGGACAUCAGGAGGUUAGUGCAAUGGCAUAAGCCAGCUUGACUGCGAGCGUGACGGCGCGAGCAGGUGCGAAAGCAGGUCAUAGUGAUCCGGUGGUUCUGAAUGGAAGGGCCAUCGCUCAACGGAUAAAAGGUACUCCGGGGAUAACAGGCUGAUACCGCCCAAGAGUUCAUAUCGACGGCGGUGUUUGGCACCUCGAUGUCGGCUCAUCACAUCCUGGGGCUGAAGUAGGUCCCAAGGGUAUGGCUGUUCGCCAUUUAAAGUGGUACGCGAGCUGGGUUUAGAACGUCGUGAGACAGUUCGGUCCCUAUCUGCCGUGGGCGCUGGAGAACUGAGGGGGGCUGCUCCUAGUACGAGAGGACCGGAGUGGACGCAUCACUGGUGUUCGGGUUGUCAUGCCAAUGGCACUGCCCGGUAGCUAAAUGCGGAAGAGAUAAGUGCUGAAAGCAUCUAAGCACGAAACUUGCCCCGAGAUGAGUUCUCCCUGAGACUUAGAGUCUCCUGAAGGAACGUUGAAGACGACGACGUUGAUAGGCCGGGUGUGUAAGCGCAGCGAUGCGUUGAGCUAACCGGUACUAAUGAACCGUGAGGCUUAACCUUACAACGCCGAAG